rnacentral:ribozyme from 1 species
UGAAAAAAAAAAAAAAAAAAAAAAAAAAAAAAAAAAAAAAAA